rnacentral:rRNA from 1 species
CCUAGUACGGCGAGUGAGAGGGAAGAGCCCAAGAUUGAAAGCUGGCGUCUUCGGCGUCCGCAUUGUAAUCUCAAGAAGUGUUUUCCGCUUCGGACCAAGCCUAAGUCCCCUGGAAAGGGGCAUCAUAGAGGGUGAUAAUCCCGUACAUGGCUUGGAGCGCCCGAGGCUUUGUGAUACGCUUUCUAAGAGUCGAGUUGUUUGGGAAUGCAGCUCAAAAUGGGUGGUAAAUGCCAUCUAAGGCUAAAUAUUGGGGAGAGACCGAUAGCGAACAAGUACAGUGAUGGAAAGAUGAAAAGAACUUUGAAAAGAGAGUUAAACAGUACGUGAAAUUGCCAAAAGGGAAGGGUAGGAGGUCAGAGAUGCGGCCUGGGAUUCAGCCUUGCUUUUGCUUGGUGUUUUUCCCAGAUUGCAGGCCAACGUCGGUUUUGGGCACUGGAGAAGGGUAGGAGGAACGUGGCACCUCUCGGGGUGUGUUAUAGCCUCCUACUGGAUACAGCGACCGAGACCGAGGACAGCAGCGUACUCGCAAGAGCGGGCCUUCGGGCACCUUUACGCUUAGGGCGUUGGCAUAAU